rnacentral:sRNA from 1 species
GCUGGGUGUGGUGGUGCACACCUGUAAUCCCAGCAACUCUGGAGACUGAGGCAGGAGGAUCACAAGUUCAAGGACAGCCUUGGCAACUUAUGAGAUGUAGCUCAGU